UGCAUUGCAAGUUAUGGGGCAAAAUCAUAGAAAUAUUCUUACCAUUACAUCGUAGUUUUCUGUCCGAAAAUGGUACAAAAGACAAUACACCGUCAUCGCCUAGAAAUAUUUUCAACAAAAGACUACCGUGUAAAGGUUAGCAUGCCCUAAGUCCUCGAAAUUGUUCCAGGUAUAACCCACAUGUUACGGGUGACUAGUCAAUCAUUCCAGUUGACCGAAGAGGUUUACAAGACAAGUUAACAAUGAAUCAAGGACCAUACAACCUUUAAAACUUUUAAAAGUCGCAAAGUACCUUACAAAAUUCGAACUCACCAUUAUUGUUCUAUUGAGUGGUCAAUAACAUUCCUGGAUUAUCAUUAAUUAUCUUUCUUUUCACCGAAUAUUUCAGAGACAGGCCACUAAUCAUUUCAUCCAUUUUUUUUUUUUGGUAAAACAUUUCAUCAAUUUAUUAGUGUUUAUAUCAUAAAUGGUUUUUAAAAUUGACUCAAACCAACAAGAUGGUAUUUGAAAUUAAAAAUUGACCAAUGUAGUCCCUGAAAAUAUGUGUCACAAAUCAAUAUAGUCAUUUUGUCACAAUUCGUCAAAAAUUAUGUUAUGUGCUAAUGUGUCAUAUAAAUGGGGUCCACAAUACCUAAGUGUUUGUAUCACGAAUAGUCUCUGAAAUUGACUCACACCAUCAAGAUGGUCUCUAAAAUUGAAAAUCAAUCAACGUAGUCCUUGAAAACAUAUAGGUGUCGUAAAUCAAUGUGAUCAUUCGUCACAAUUCUGUCAAAAAAAAUUAUGUGCUAAUGUAGGUUUAAUAACUAAUUAAAAAAAGUUGUCAAAACACUUUUUUCCACAUUGAGAUUAUGUCAAGGUAGAGCUUGCCGUUCUCCGUAUGACCAAGAUAAUCGAGGGAGCUCCCAACAAGCUCACCAAGAUUAAGGUUGUGAGGCUAUCGAUUGCCCAAAUAUUGACGAUGGAGUCACUGAAGUCGUCACCACUCCAAGUCGUCACAAAAUAUAGUUUCGAUCGUGGUCCAAUUCAAUGAAAGGUGUAAAGAUGAGUGGCUUGAGAUUUUUUGUUGUUGUUUUUUUUUUCCAGAAAAGAAACGGUGAAGGCUACCAUAGAUGGAGGUAGAAGAGUAUAGGUUGGGAUCAUAGAUGAAUGCGGUACCGAGUUUCUGGAUCGACAACUUUUUUAAUUAAUUAUCAAAUUAUUAAACCUAUUUAUAGUUUAAUUUUGUUGUUUUAGUUAGACUUGUAAGUCCAUUUAUGUGCCACAUCAGCACAUAACACAAUUUUUUUACAGAAUUACGACGGAAUGACCACAUUGAUUUACAACACCUAUUUUAGGACCAAAAUGAUCGAUUUUCAAUUUCAAGGACCAUUUGUGAUUAAAAAAGGACCUGUUAGACCCAUUUAUGUGUCAUAUCAGCACAAAAUAAUUUUUUUUACAAAACUGUGAUGGAUGAACCACAUUUAUUUGCGGCACCUAUUUUCAUGGACUACAUUUUAAAUUUCAGAUACCAUCUUGAUGGUGUCGAUCAAUUUCGUGGAUCAUUUGUGAGAAAACCCACCCUAUUUAUUAAUAUUUAAAAAAAAACUAAUUGUUAUGAAAUUAUGAUUAACUAUCACAUUUUAUCCAUUAUCGUACUGUGAAAACGGUUUAUAAUUUAAUAAAAAAAGGUAAAAUUAUUUCUCUAAAAGUAAAAAAGAGAGCAGCCAUUAGUAAGAGCAAUGUUAUUCUUACCAUCUAAAUAUACCAUAAUUUCAUACCAUUUUAUGUGGCAAUUGAGAUGGACAUCCACACAAGUUAAAAAAAUCCCAUGUCAGCUAAGGUGGAUAUUUACGAUUUUACUCAAUGAUUUUUAUUAAUAAAAUAAUUAAAAAAUAAUAAUGAAACCUACUUGCUCCCGUUUUCAAGCCUCAUCGCUGGGCCUCCUCCCUCUUCGCUCUCCAAUUUCACCUUCCUUCACCGACGAUCGAUGGUGCUCGAUCCCCUUCAUCACUGCUAACGGGCCAAAUAUCCUGAUGGUGCUCCCAGUGAUUGUUUUGCUCUGCCACCAAAUCAAGUUUGCAAUUUUAAUGGUUUAUGCCUUCUAGCCAAAUGUUGGAUUUCAUAGGUUUUUAAUUCCAGCAACAUUGAACAAAAAUAUGAGAAGGAUUGGAUACGAUAUUUUCUUUUCUGUUCCACUGCUGAGGAUUUUCCGAAUGGAAGAAGAUUUAGAAGACAACCUCUUUUCUUCUUUCUUCAUGGACUUUUGGUUAGCACCAAAAUCUUUUCCUAAUCCUCUAUAGGAAUGAAAAUUUCAUUCCAUGUUAUCUCCCGAUGUUGUCCAAGGCUUUGGCUUGAAUUUUCAUUGGAAUUAUAAUUUGUUGGACUCAUAUCAGGUAAGUUGAACGGGUAGGGUUUAAGCAAAAAUUAAAUUAAAUUAAAAUAAACAGAAAUUCUACCUAGGUUGAAACCUAACCUUCCACAUCACGUACUAUAAUAAGAUGGUAAGAAUAGCAGUAGUAUAUCCAAUGGCCGUUUCGACCGCCGCGCUAUUUAGCAAAAACGUUCGCCGUCACCGUGCGUCACGUUAGCGACGGAGGGGAUCUCAAAGUGCCAGAGCCUCCCUACUGCCUUAACCAAGAACUUCCUGCAG
rnacentral:lncRNA from 1 species